AUGCGCCUUGCCAGCCCGCUCAGAACUUAAAGGAAUUGACGGGGCCGCACAAGCGGAGGAACAUGUGGUUUUAAUUCGAUGAUACGCGAGGAACCUUACCUGGGCUUAAAUGGGGAGUGACAGCUGUCGAAAGAUGGUUUUCUUCGGACACUCUUCAAGGUGCUGCAUGGUUGUCGUCAGCUCGUGCCGUGAGGUGUCGGGUUAAGUCCCAUAACGAGCGCAACCCUUACCGUUAGUUACCAUCAGGUUAAGCUGGGGACUCUAGCGGGACUGCCACCGUAAGGUGAGAGGAAGGUGGGGAUGACGUCAAAUCAGCACGGCCCUUAUGUCCAGGGCUACACACGUGUUACAAUGGCCGGUACAAAGGGCAGCUACUUCGCGAGAAGAUGCUAAUCUCGAAAGCCGGUCUCAGUUCGGAUCGAAGUCUGCAACCCGACUUCGUGAAGCUGGAUUCGCUAGUAAUCGCGCAUCAGCCAUGGCGCGGUGAAUACGUUCCCGGGCCUU
rnacentral:rRNA from 1 species